UACGUAGGUGACAAGCGUUUGUCCGGAUUUACUGGGCGUAAAGAGCGCGCAGGCGGUCGAUCAAGUCGAGUGUGAAAGCCCCCGGCUCAACUGGGGAGGGUCACGCGAUACUGAUCGACUCGAAGGCAGGAGAGGGUAGUGGAAUUCCCGGUGUAGUGGUGAAAUGCGUAGAUAUCGGGAGGAACACCAGUGGCGAAGGCGACUACCUGGCCUGUUCUUGACGCUGAGGCGCGAAAGCUAGGGGAGCAAACGGGG
rnacentral:rRNA from 1 species